rnacentral:rRNA from 1 species
UACGAAGGGAGCGAGCGUUGUUCGGAAUCACUGGGCUUAAAGCGUGCGUAGGCGGAUCUGUAAGUCAGAAGUGAAAUCCCUGGGCUUAACCCAGGAAUUGCUUUUGAGACUGCAAGUCUAGAAACCGGAAGAGGUUAGCGGAACUCCCAGUGUAGAGGUGAAAUUCGCAGAUAUUGGGAAGAACACCAGUGGCGAAGGCGGCUAACUGGUCCGGUAUUGACGCUGAGGCACGAAAGCGUGGGUAGCAAACAGG